CGUACGGCUCAGUAACACGUAGUCAACCUGCCCUGGAGACAUGGACAACCCCGGGAAACUGGGAUUAAUCCGUGAUAGGUCAUCCCAUCUGGAAGGAGGGAUGGCUUAAAGGGGUGCGCGGGCUUCUUCUGCGUAUUCGCUCCAGGAUGGGACUGCGUCCGAUCAGGCUGUUGGCGGGGUAAUGGCCCACCAAACCUGUAACCGGUACGGGCCUUGAGAGAGGUGGCCCGGAGAUGGACACUGAGAGAAGGGUCCAGGUCCUACGGGGCGCAGCAGGCGCGAAACCUUCGCAAUGCGCGAAAGCGUGACGAGGUUAAUCCGAGUGGUCUCCGCUGAGGAGACCUUUUGUCAGCUGUAAAUAGGCGGGCGAAUAAGGGGAGGGCAAGUCUGGUGUCAGCCGCCGCGGUAAUACCAGCUCCUCGAGUGGUCGGGACGAUUAUUGGGCCUAAGGCACCCGUAGCCGGUUCCGGGAGUCCUCGAGUGAAUCCAGUCGCUCAACGGCUGGUCUGCAGAGGAAACUGCAGGACUAGGAUGCGGGAAAAGGGNACGGNGCUGCGCAUGCANGGGAGGACNCCUGUGGUCNGGGGNGGAC
rnacentral:rRNA from 1 species